rnacentral:lncRNA from 1 species
UUGAUUUUUCAUCUUUUAUGCAUACAAAAGUUAUAAAUAGUAAGGAUUCUAACAUUGUCAUCAUGUAACUAAAAAAUAAAAUUUUCUCAGUACUGUAUGUUCAUUAUAGCUAUACCUAUACAUAUGAAAAUUGUGUGCACGUGCCACAAAAAGGCUCCUUCAGCAGUUAAGAACAACAAAUUAGAAGAAAUUUGCUAUAUAUACAGGGUUAAUUAAAACAAUAGGUAUGUUUCCCUUUUAAAGAAGUAUAUGUUUUAACAGUAGGAACAAAAACUGUUAGUGAACUGAAUAGAGAGCACACAUUUUAUAGCCUGGGUUUUCAAGCUAC